rnacentral:rRNA from 1 species
GACGAACGCUGGCGGCGUGCUUAACACAUGCAAGUCGAGCGGAGCGGCGAACGGGUGAGUAACGCGUGAGUAACUGCCCCCCUCUCUGGGAUAACAGUUGGACACGGCUGCUAAUACCGGAUAUUGGGGGAUGAAUCGCGUCCUAUCAGCUUGUCGGUGGGGUAGUGGCCUACCAAGGCGACGACGGGUAGCCGGCCUGAGCGGGGGACCGCCCACAUUGGGCUGAGAGACGGCCCAAACUCCUACGGGAGGCAGCAGUGGGGAAUAGUGCACAAUGGGCGCAAGCCUGACGGAGCAAUGCCGAGUGUGUGAAGAAGGUUUUCGGGUCGUAAAGCUCUGUUGUAAGAGAGGAGAAAAUACACCACGCUUGACGGUAGGAAAACAGAAAGCACCGGCUAACUACGUGCCAGAAGCCGCGGUAAUAG